GGGUGUUCAGGCUUUUUCUUCUUGUGUUUCCCGUCAAGUGCUUCGAAGUAAGUGAUUAUGUUCUGAAAGUAGGCAGGAUGUGACUUGGACUGUAACAACUCAUCCCAGAGAAUGAGCAGCAAUCCCCAUGGUGCUUGAGGACCAUGCUAUGAAUAGCACUGAAAUGCAGUCAGCAGACAUUUCCGUGCUACUCCAGGGAAGGCACAGACAAUUAAUUGUCCCCAGUUUGCUCUACUGUCCAUAAUUAUAGUUUUGAGUUUAUAAAUAACAAAGCACGAUUUUAAGAACCAAAACAAACCCCUCAAUUACUACAGAGUUCCCGAGAUAAUUAAGUCUCCAAAUGUGGCUCUGUAGAAGGGAACCAAGGCUACACUGCAAAAGCCCAUAACAUGCAGAUGUGCGUAAGCAGAGCAAAGCGACAGGAUGGAAAACGUCAUCAGGAAAAUAAACUCUCUCAUCAUUAUUUCACCGCUUUUUACCUAAAAAAACAAUGGCCUAUUGUCUCGAUUCACCCUAUUGUUCUGUUGCAUUUUUUGUUAUUGAAGGAACCAACAGUCAGUCAGCGAGAGUUUCCUGAGGAGUAGCAGUUUGGAAAGUUCAAUGCAGUAUCCUGUGCCUAAGGCUUGUUUUGCUACAGGUUUUAGGAAAAACCAUGCAAGUAAAGUUACUGAGACAAAUGAAAGCACAGGGUCUGUAAUUCAACUUGUUUGAAUGCCCCUUCAAAUGGAAAUACUCUCCACUUGUACAAGUGUGGCCGUUAAAACCUGCAAAAUGAAGCAGAAAAAAAAGCUGUGCCCUGUCUGCAUCCCCGCUUGAUGGACGUUCCUCUGUUGUUUCUGGGCCGUUGUGUACUGCCAGGGAAGAACUCCAGGUCGGGAGCCAGCACAGCAGGAGGCUUCAUUAGCCAUGAACAGGAGCAAAACAGCGCUUCAGAAGGAGCAGUGCCCUGUCUGAGCAACCAGCUUCACCACAACAAGCACAUAAUCAGCUGGACAGCCUGUAACACACGCUUCGGAUAAAGACAGACCUAUGGAUACAAGACAGCCACGGCUUAAGUGUUUCAAAAGAUCUUUGCCCAACAAGGAAACAAAUUAUACAUUAAAAACUUUUUACAAAAUACAUGCUCUGUUCUUUCUCUGUUUAAUAUCUUCCUUGCUUGAAGCUUGGCUGUUGCCCAAACGCAUCCAGAGCAACGCUUGAUGAUAACUCAAAAAUGUGCAGUUAAUCUGUGUGUAGCUUCAGCUCUUGAAUGCCAGGAGCAAAAGUGUACUUUUCAGAGAGAAAUAGGCUUGGUCACACAGCAUAAUCAUGUUUAUGCAAGUUUUUAGUAGAUAGCCAAGAUAAAGGAAAUACUUCUGUACACUCCUCUGAGAAAAGACAAAAACUCUGAGUUGAAAAACUGCUCUUUUUCAAUGUCAUUUUAUCCACAAACAAGCAUAAGCCCUAGUAGAGAGCUUCCUGCAUUACAGAGAGUAUAACUUUAGCUAGCCAUGUUUUUUUUUUUUUUUUUUUUUAAAC